rnacentral:rRNA from 1 species
GUCUAUGGCCAUACCACUCUGAAUGCGCCCGAUCUCGUCUGAUCUUGGAAGCUAAGCAGGAUCGGGUCUGGUUAGUAUUUGGGUGGGAGAAAAUAAAGCUGAAUGAUUAUAAAAA